GGAAGUGGGAUGACGUCAAUCAUCAUGCCCCUUAUGACCUGGGCUACACACGUGCUACAAUGGUUGGUACAACGAGUUGCGAGUCGGUGACGGCGAGCUAAUCUCUUAAAGCCAAUCUCAGUUCGGAUUGUAGGCUGCAACUCGCCUACAUGAAGUCGGAAUCGCUAGUAAUCGCGGAUCAGCACGCCGCGGUCGAAUACGUUCCCGGGCCUU
rnacentral:rRNA from 1 species